CCGCGGUAAAACGUAGGACGCGAGCGUUAUCCGGAUUUACUGGGCGUAAAGCGCGGGCAGGCGGUGGUCCAAGUCGGACGUGAAAGCUCCCGGCUCAACUGGGAAAUUGCAUCGGAAACUGAUCGGCUUGAAGGUGGGAGAGGGUAGUGGAAUUCCCGGUGUAGUGGUGAAAUGCGUAGAUAUCGGGAGGAACACCAGUGGCGAAGGCGACUACCUGGCCCACUCUUGACGCUGAGGCGCGAAAGCUAGGGGAGCGAACGGG
rnacentral:rRNA from 1 species